UUUUCAAAGGUUGACCUCGAAUCAGGUAGGGAUACCCGCUGAACUUAAGCAUAUCAAUAAGCGGAGGAAAAGAAACCAACAGGGAUUGCCCCAGUAACGGCGAGUGAAGCGGCAACAGCUCAAAUUUGAAAUCUGGCCCCCCGGGCCCGAGUUGUAAUUUGUAGAGGAUGCUUUUGGUGAGGCGCCGCCCGAGUUCCCUGGAACGGGACGCCACAGAGGGUGAGAGCCCCGUCUGGUUGGCCGCCGAGCCUCUGUAAAGCUCCUUCGACGAGUCGAGUAGUUUGGGAAUGCUGCUCAAAAUGGGAGGUAUAUGUCUUCUAAAGCUAAAUACCGGCCAGAGACCGAUAGCGCACAAGUAGAGUGAUCGAAAGAUGAAAAGCACUUUGAAAAGAGGGUUAAAUAGUACGUGAAAUUGUUGAAAGGGAAGCACUUGUGACCAGACUUGGGCUUGGCGAAUCAUCCGGCGUUCUCGCCGGUGCACUUUGCCUCGUCCAGGCCAGCAUCAGUUCGUCCCGGGGGACAAAGGCUUUGGGAACGUGGCUCCUCCGGGAGUGUUAUAGCCCACUGCGUAAUACCCUGGGGUGGACUGAGGUUCGCGCAUCUGCAUGGAUGCUGGCGUAAUGGUCAUCAGUGACCCGUCUUGAAACACGGACCAAGGAGUCGUCUUCGUAUGCGAGUGUUCGGGUGUCAAACCCCUACGCGAAAUGAAAGUGAACGCAGGUGAGAGCUUCGGCGCAUCAUCGACCGAUCCUGAUGUUCUCGGAUGGAUUUGAGUAAGAGCAUACGGGGCCGGACCCGAAAGAAGGUGAACUAUGCCUGUAUAGGGUGAAGCCAGAGGAAACUCUGGUGGAGGCUCGCAGCGGUUCUGACGUGCAAAUCGAUCGUCAAAUAUGGGCAUGGGGGCGAAAGACUAAUCGAACCUUCUAGUAGCUGGUUUCCGC
rnacentral:rRNA from 1 species